rnacentral:rRNA from 1 species
GACGAACGCUGGCGGCGUGCCUAACACAUGCAAGUCGAACGGGGUGUAGAGAGCUUGCUCUUUACACUUAGUGGCGAACGGGUGAGUAACGCGUGAGGAACCUGCCUUCCAGUGGGGGACAACAGUUGGAAACGACUGCUAAUACCGCAUAACAUAUUCGAGGCGCAUCCCUUGAAUAGCAAAGCUUAAUGUGCUGAAAGAUGGUCUCGCGUCUGAUUAGCUAGUUGGUGGGGUAACGGCCCACCAAGGCGACGAUCAGUAGCCGGUCUGAGAGGAUGAACGGCAACAUUGGGACUGAGAUACGGCCCAGACUCCUACGGGAGGCAGCAGUGGGGAAUAUUGGGCAAUGGGGGAAACCCUGACCCAGCAACGCCGCGUGAAGGAAGAAGGCCUUCGGGUUGUAAACUUCUUUUAGCAGGGACGAAGGACGUGACGGUACCUGCAGAAAAAGCAACGGCUAACUACGUGCCAGCCGCCGCCGUAAGAC